AGAUGUGAGGUCAAUCUGGCUGUGGCAUCUGUCACCUCAUUGAUCACCAGGGUGAUUCUGCUGAUCUGCCUGGCUAGGCGAGUGUCCCCUUCCUCCCUCACUGCUCCAGUGCAUCCCUCCCCAAGCUGUGUGCUCAGUGAAAGAGGACGACCUCUCCCAAUAGAGGAGAUAGAGUAGGGCGGUUUCCAUGGCCAAGGGUACAGAGUAGCUAUGCUCUUUCCCUAUAAACACCUCCAAAUAAGCUCUCAACUUGCAUAUUGAUUGAUCAUCCUCAUCAGAGUAACUGGUUUUGUAAACGCUGUAUUACUAAAACAGCAACAAUAUCAUCUCUGUAUUAAAUUUUUGU
rnacentral:snRNA from 1 species